AUUGAACGCUGGCGGAAUGCUUUACACAUGCAAGUCGAACGGUAACAGGUCUUCGGAUGCUGACGAGUGGCGAACGGGUGAGUAAUAUAUCGGAACGUGCCCAGUCGUGGGGGAUAACGUAGCGAAAGUUACGCUAAUACCGCAUACGAUCUAUGGAUGAAAGCGGGGGAUCGCAAGACCUCGCGAGAUUUGAGCGGCCGAUAUCAGAUUAGGUAGUUGGUGGGGUAACGGCCCACCAGGGCGACGAUCGGUAGCCGGCCUGAGAGGGCGGACGGCCACACUGGGACUGAGACACGGCCCAGACUCCUACGGGAGGCAGCAGUGGGGAAUUGUUCGCAAUGGGCGCAAGCCUGACGACGCAACGCCGCGUGGAGGAUGAAGAUUUUCGGAUCGUAAACUCCUUUCGAUCGGGACGAAUCGGUCGCGACCUAACACGUCGUGGCACUGACGGUACCGAGAGAAGAAGCCCCGGCUAACUCCGUGCCAGCAGCCGCCGUAA
rnacentral:rRNA from 1 species